UACGGAGGGGGCUAGCGUUGUUCGGAAUUACUGGGCGUAAAGCGCACGUAGGCGGCUUUGUAAGUUAGAGGUGAAAGCCCGGGGCUCAACUCCGGAAUUGCCUUUAAGACUGCAUCGCUAGAAUUGUGGAGAGGUAAGUGGAAUUCCGAGUGUAGAGGUGAAAUUCGUAGAUAUUCGGAAGAACACCAGUGGCGAAGGCGACUUACUGGGCACAUAUUGACGCUGAGGUGCGAAAGCGUGGGGAGCGAACAGG
rnacentral:rRNA from 1 species